AGGGGAAACCACAGGGAAGUGUUCACGGGGGCCAGUGUGGGGCUGCUUAGUCAUCGCCCAAAACACCUGAUGCGAGUUCAUUAAGGCACCAGAUUAGGUGGAGGAUGUUCAGGCUGUUCUGGUUGGAGAGAUUCUUGCCCCCCUGCUUUUAUUGCUGCUAGGAGUUGCACCACCUGAUGUCUGGCCAUUGUAAUGCCUCUGUCCAAAUGAGGAACAAACAAACAAAACAAUCAACCCUCACCCCAAAAGAGUCCUCCAAUGGCUUUGGCUGGAGGCAGUACUGAGUUCUGUUUGCAGCAGCUGAGUGGGCAGGUUUUAGGGGAGAGACCUGCCCCCUCAGAGAGCAGUGACACCCAGGGUAGUGCAAUGACCUCUUCAGCUGGUGUAGCUGCAGAUGGGAGACACCGUGCAGCUGGGAGCUCUCUCAGCAGGGUUAAAGACACUGAGGGUGAAUGCCAGUGUUCACAGCCGUUCUGCUAAGCUUGCCACAGCUUGCCGCAGCUGCUGCUACCCUAUGACUGCAAGAGAGAGAAAUCCAGUCCUAAAAACUAACAUCAAGUAUCUCAGAGCCCUGGAAAAUUAUCUGGUUUUACUUGAGCGUUUCACUUGAGCUCUGUGUACUUGCAUCGAUACUUGGUCAAACAUCCUCUUGUGUUUCCCCAGCGGAACGCUGAAGCUAUGCAAACCGGACCGUAGAGCUGUCCCCGUGUCCCCAGGCUGCACUGGCUUCUGCACUCAUCAGUACCCGAGCCAGCCUUGUGCCGUGCUCCACGUUCCCUCGUGGAACUGCUCCUGGAGCUGCCCUUCCUGGCCUGCCAGUGGAGAUCUCUUCGGUCUCCUGUUGCGCCCUGGUUUCUCAUGCGAACGAGGCUCGGUUUCGUCUGCCCUUUGGCUUGGAAGAGUUGUGCUUUGGAAAUACUUGUGUGAGGGCUGGGCUGCAGAAAGCACUUGCAGCAGAGAUGUACUGGGGCCUGAGCAGAGCUUGUGUACUCAGGCCAUAUGGGAGAGCUUUUAAGACCAUUAUUAUUUGUUUGCUACAGCUCUGCAACUUCCUCUUCCCCUUUAUACAUGCUUUUUUCUGACAUGCUGUCACUGCCUUCAUCUAUCCUGAUAAAGCAAAGAACAUGGUAUAAUUUUCCUACCUUCUGCUCUCGAGUUGCUGGUUUAAUGAGAGAUAAUUUCCCCUGAACAAUAUUAGGGGAGAAAAAAAAAUCUGUCUGCCAAGGUUCUUUGUAUAGGAACAAAAGUUACCAUCAGCAGGCUUCCCCACGAAUAGCCAAGCAGGGCAAUCAGGUGCAGGGGGUGAAGAGCCUUCAGGGAACUCCUCAGGACUUGCUGCUUCCAACGUUUUGGGGAAGUCCCCACACCU